UACGUAGGUGGCAAGCGUUGUCCGAAUUUAUUGGGUUUAAAGGGUGCGUAGGCGGCUUUGUAAGUCAGCGGUGAAAUACUCUAGCUUAACUAGAGGGGUGCCAUUGAUACUGCGGAGCUUGAGUACAGAUGAGGUAGGCGGAAUUGACGGUGUAGCGGUGAAAUGCAUAGAUAUCGUCAAGAACACCGAUAGCGAAGGCAGCUUACUGGGCUGUAACUGACGCUGAUGCACGAAAGUGUGGGGAUCAAACAGG
rnacentral:rRNA from 1 species